UUCCGUACUCAUAACCAUAUUAAAAUAACUCUCAUCCAUAGUGCAUACAUAUUAUGCAAGUUGCAUCCAUACCAAAUCAUAUAUUACACCAGUUUCAUCCACAUGCAUACAAAGUUUCAUAUAUAUGCAUAUACUACAAUAGUUUCAAUACGAGCCAUGGUACAAGAAAUCAUCUUCAAGCAUUCCAUCAAAUAUAAUCCAAGCUUCCCGUGAAGUGAAGGUAAUCUCCAAAAUGACAAAUAAGAAACUUAGAAGAAUAAUACUAGAUUAAGAAGUAUAUAUAUAGGUUAUUUCGGAGAGAAAUUAGCUAAGUAUAGACCAUUUAGGAGCUAACUAAGCUAAUUAUGUCAUUUAGGUGGAAUCCUAGCUAACCAUAGGUCGUUUCGGAGCUAACUUGGGUAAAAUAGGUCAUUUCGGAGCAAACUAUGCUUAUUAAGCCAUUUUGGAUCUAGCUAGGCUAAUUAUAGGCCAUUUAAUACCUAAGUUAGGGGGAAUAUGUCAUCUUGCAGCUACGUAAGCCUUAUUAUGUCAUUUAGGAGAGAACUUAGCUAACUGUAGGUCAUUUUUUAUGAAAUAGGUCAUUUUGGAGCUAACUAAGCUAAUUAUGUCAUUUCRUAGGAUAAUUAGCCAAUUUAGCCUUUCUUGGAUGAGUCUAAGCUACGUAGAAGAAGAGAAAGAGAAGAAGAAGUAAAAAGAAGUAGGAGGAGGAGRAGGAGGAGAAGGAGAAGGAAGAGGAGAAGAAGGAAAGAAGAAGGAGAAGGAGAAGGAGGAAGAAGGAGGAAGAAGAAGGAGAAGGAGGAGCUCCUUCUCCUUCUUUCCUCCUUCUUCUCCUUCUCCUUAUCCUCCUCCUUCUCCUUCUUCUUCUUCUCUUCUUCUUCUUCUUCCUUCCUUACAUUUUUCCUCUUUCUUCUCCUCUUGUCCCCUUCUUCGGGCUAAAUUGGCUAAGAAUGCCUUUUUGGAGCUAAUUAUGUCAUUUCGAGGAUAAUUAGCUAAGUAUAGGUCAUGUUUUAUUAAAUAGACCAUUUAGGAGCUAACUAAGCUAAUUAUGUCAUCUAGGUGGAACCCUAGCUAACUGUAGGUCGUUUCGGAGCUAACUUCGGUAAAAUAGGUCAUUCUGGAGCAAACUAUGCUUAUUAAGCCAUUUUGGAUCUAGCUAGGCUAAUUAUAGGCCAUUUAAUACCUAAGUUAGGGGGAAUAGGUCAUCUUCUAACUACGUAAGCCUUAUUAUGUCAUUUAGGAGAGAACUUAGCUAACUGUAGGUCAUUUUUUAUUAAAUAGGUCAUUUUGGAGCUAACUAAGCUAAUUAUGUCAUUUCGUAGGAUAAUUAGCCAAUUUAGCCUUUCUUCGAGCUAACUAAGCUAAUUAUGUCAUUUAGAUGGAAGUCUAGCUAUUUUUUAUUGAAACACUAGAAAUAACAUACCAUUAUCGUCAUCACAGCGGUGAAGCAUGGUGGAUCUGGCUUGUUUCACCUCGAGAAGGAUGCCCUGGAGAAGGCUCGGCUAUAGAAGGGUCGUGCGAUGCAUUU
rnacentral:lncRNA from 1 species